rnacentral:rRNA from 1 species
CAUCCUGCCCAGUGAACUAAGGUUUUAACGGCCGCGGUACCCUGACCGUGCAAAGGUAGCAUAAUCAUUUGCCUUUUAAUUGGAGGCUAGUAUGAAUGGACACACGAGAGGCCACUUGUCUCACUACUUAUUAUAUAAAUUAGAGUUCAGGUGAAGAUACCUGAAUAACACUAAAAGACAAGAAGACCCUAUUGAGUUUUACUGUUUAUUCCUUCCCCAGACCUAUAAUGCUAUAAGGUCUGGUAAAGAUACCAGUUUGGUUGGGGCAACCUGGGAUAAAACAACGCAUCCCCUAAUAUAAAGAAGCUCAUUCUAUCAACUUAUCCACAACUGUGAAUAGAAAAUAAUACUACCAUAGGGAUAACAGGCUAAUCUCCUUAGAGAGUCCAUAUUGACAAGGAGGAUUGGCACCUCGAUGUUGGCCUAGGGGAUCCCUCAAAUGCAGCAGUUUGAGAAGGUUGGUUUGUUCAACCAUUAAAGCCCUACGUGAUCUGAG